CAGUAGCCGCGGGAACACGAAGGGUGCAAGUGUUACUCGGAAUUACUGGGCGUAAAGCGUGCGUAGGUGGUGGUUUAAGUCCGUUGUGAAAGCCCUGGGCUCAACCUGGGAAUUGCAGUGGAUACUGGAUCACUAGAGUGUGGUAGAGGAUAGUGGAAUUUCCGGUGUAGCAGUGAAAUGCGUAGAGAUCGGAAGGAACAUCUGUGGCGAAGGCGACUAUCUGGGCCAACACUGACACUGAGGCACGAAAGCGUGGGGAACAAACAGGAUUAGAUACCCCCGUAGUCCCUGUCUCUUAUAC
rnacentral:rRNA from 1 species